UCUCCGUUGGCGAACCAGCGGAGGGAUCAUUACUGGAAUCGCAAGAUCCCACAACCCUGUGAACCUACCGAAACGUUGCCUCGGCGGGUGCCCGGCCUCUGCGCCGGGCGCUGCGCCCGCCGGCGGCCCCCUACUCUGUCUCUGCAGCGUGGCAUCUCAGAGUCCCAGAAAACAAGUCAAAACUUUCAACAACGGAUCUCUUGGCUCUAACAUCGAUGAAGAACGCAGC
rnacentral:misc_RNA from 1 species